GAGCGGCGGACGCGAUGAGUCAUGCCUAGGAAAUUGCCCUGAUGUGGGGGAUAACCAUUGGAAACGAUGGCUAAUACCGCAUAAUGCCUACGGGCCAAAGAGGGGGACCUUCGGGCCUCUCGCGUCAGGAUAUGCCUAGGUGGGAUUAGCUAGUUGGUGAGGUAAUGGCUCACCAAGGCGACGAUCCCUAGCUGGUCUGAGAGGAUGAUCAGCCACACUGGAACUGAGACACGGUCCAGACUCCUACGGGAGGCAGCAGUGGGGAAUAUUGCACAAUGGGCGCAAGCCUGAUGCAGCCAUGCCGCGUGUGUGAAGAAGGCCUUCGGGUUGUAAAGCACUUUCAGUCGUGAGGAAGGUGGUGUAGUUAAUAGCUGCAUUAUUUGACGUUAGCGACAGAAGAAGCACCGGCUAACUCCGUGCCAGCAGCCGCGGUAAUACGGAGGGUGCGAGCGUUAAUCGGAAUUACUGGGCGUAAAGCGCAUGCAGGUGGUUUGUUAAGUCAGAUGUGAAAGCCCGGGGCUCAACCUCGGAAUAGCAUUUGAAACUGGCAGACUAGAGUACUGUAGAGGGGGGUAGAAUUUCAGGUGUAGCGGUGAAAUGCGUAGAGAUCUGAAGGAAUACCGGUGGCGAAGGCGGCCCCCCUGGACAGAUACUGACACUCAGAUGCGAAAGCGUGGGGAGCAAACAGGAUUAGAUACCCUGGUAGUCCACGCCGUAAACGAUGUCUACUUGGAGGUUGUGGCCUUGAGCCGUGGCUUUCGGAGCUAACGCGUUAAGUAGACCGCCUGGGGAGUACGGUCGCAAGAUUAAAACUCAAAUGAAUUGACGGGGGCCCGCACAAGCGGUGGAGCAUGUGGUUUAAUUCGAUGCAACGCGAAGAACCUUACCUACUCUUGACAUCCAGAGAACUUUCCAGAGAUGGAUUGGUGCCUUCGGGAACUCUGAGACAGGUGCUGCAUGGCUGUCGUCAGCUCGUGUUGUGAAAUGUUGGGUUAAGUCCCGCAACGAGCGCAACCCUUAUCCUUGUUUGCCAGCGAGUAAUGUCGGGAACUCCAGGGAGACUGCCGGUGAUAAACCGGAGGAAGGUGGGGACGACGUCAAGUCAUCAUGGCCCUUACGAGUAGGGCUACACACGUGCUACAAUGGCGCAUACAGAGGGCAGCAAGCUAGCGAUAGUGAGCGAAUCCCAAAAAGUGCGUCGUAGUCCGGAUUGGAGUCUGCAACUCGACUCCAUGAAGUUGGAAUCGCUAGUAAUCGUGGAUCAGAAUGCCCCGGUGAAUACGUUCCCUGUGUUUGAACACUCCGCCCGUCACACCAUGGGAGUGGG
rnacentral:rRNA from 1 species